rnacentral:rRNA from 1 species
GACGAACGCUGGCGGCGUGCUUAACACAUGCAAGUCGAACGGAAAGGCCCUGCUUUUGUUGGGUUCUCGAUUGGCGAACGCGUGAGUAACACGUGAGUAAACUGCCCUUGUCUUUGUGAUAACUUCAGGAAACUGGGGCUAAUACCGGAUAGGAGCUCCUGCUGCAUGUUGGGGGUUGGAAAGUUUCGGCGGUUGGGGAUAGACUCGCAGCUUAUCAGCUUGUUGGUGUGGUAGUGGCUUACCAAGGGUACGACGGGUAGCCGGCCUGAGAGGGUGAACGGCGUCAAUAGGACUAAGAGACGGAGCAGAAUGGAACGGGACGCAACGGUGGAGAGCAUUACACAGUGAGGGGAAGUGUAAUACAGAGACGUUGGGAGCGGAAUAACGGGUUACGGGUGAUAAACAAAUGUGGAAGGAAACGUGCAGUGAGUGACGGUAAUGGGUAAGAAAGCAACGGCUAACUACGUG